rnacentral:rRNA from 1 species
UACGUAGGGUGCGAGCGUUAAUCGGAAUUACUGGGCGUAAAGCGUGCGCAGGCGGCGCGUUAAGACAGGUGUGAAAGCCCCGAGCUUAACUUGGGAAUUGCGCUUGUGACUGGCGUGCUGGAGUGUGGCAGAGGGAGGUGGAAUUCCACGUGUAGCAGUGAAAUGCGUAGAUAUCAGGAGGAACACCUGCGGUGUAGACGGCUUACUGGACCAUAACUGACGCUGAGGCACGAAAGCGUGGGUAGCAAACAGG